rnacentral:piRNA from 1 species
UACUCAGGAAGCUGAGGCAAGAGAAUCG